CUCCCUGCAACCGCUUUCAGUAACUCAAUGCCAGCAGCCAAGUCAUCACUAACUGCCAAAUGUGACACAUUUCCACAGCUCCAUCUUCCUUGGGACUCCUGUGCCAUGAGAGUGAAACGGAGGAAGAAGCAAAGGCGCAGGCUGAAGUGCAAGAGAAGAAAGAUGACGCAGAGGUCCAGGUAAACCCCCAGUCCACCCAGCAAGGCCAAGGCACAGAAGUGAGGGAUGCCGAAGGCCGGGACGGGAUGCUGGUACAAGCUGCUGGACUGUGUGCUACUGUCGUCCUAAGUCUCAGUGGACCUGGAACCUCACCGUCUACUCGCAGAGACACCACCUCCUAGACUGGCCGGCCUUCCUUACAACCCAAACAGUCCUGCUGGCCCUCGGACCCGGACCUGCGGUGUUCUGAACUCGUUCUGUUCUCUCCCUUUGUGGCCAAGUGUAACCCGUGUACAAUAAACCAUCUUUCUCUCUGUCUCA